CUCGAAGACGAUCAGAUACCGUC
rnacentral:siRNA from 1 species